AUUUUGAAACAUCAGAGAAAAAACCACAAAAAACCCAAAACCACAAAAAAACCCUAAAAACCUAACUCUUUCUGCCUACUCACCCAAGCAGCCGCCGUCCCCCGGGGUCCUUGGCUUUUGCUCUCCCAGAACCAGAGAGCCAAGGACCCCCCGCCAUUGGAAAUGAGCCCUUCUCCCCCUUUGGCCGCUCAUCCUUUGGAAACCAGCAAAAGCUUCCUUUCUCCUUAGCCGGCCACACUCCCAGCCAACAAGAAGGCCGCUCAUUUUCUCUUCUGAGCUCUGGCCGAAACACAGAGAGAGCCCCGUUUGCUCUUGAACCACCGCCUGACCUUCCCUUCUCCUCUCAGCCGCUCAUUUGUCUUGGCCAAUAACCAAGAGGCAGCGGCUCCAUUUUCCUUCCAACCCGCAACCGAUCUCUCCCCUUGCCUCCACCGGAGCUUCAGCGGCCACAGACCCACAUUCUUCACUGUCGGUCGCAGCGGCGACCGAACACCAGCAGCAGCGCCGAUCCGCCCUCCAUCCUCUCCUUCGGCGCCGGGCUUCCCCCUCAGCCUGCAACGACCGGCCACCAGCAGCAGCAGCCGAUCUCCUUCCCCACAGGCCAGCGAACCCAACCGCCUCCAGCAGCGCCGUCCUCCUUCCAUCUCGUGGUCGACCCAGCGGUUCCUCAGCUCCACCACUAGAUCUGCCAUCGGCAGAAGCAGAACAAACCGGGAGGAACGGAUGACAGAAGUUUUUGAGCAGAUCUAAAAAUAACAAACUAAAAUCGACUGGUGUGUGUUUCUUUUCUUGUUCUGCAGGUCGCCGGCGGUUUAGGAGGACAGAGGGGGAAGGAAACAUUCCAGAGCCCCUGUUUUUUUGAGUUUCCAGCGGCGGCGCGUGGGCUCACGCGCCGCCAGUGGCGGUGGCGCGUGGAAGGACGCGCCGCCACUGUUCACACGGGUCCAGAGGGUUACCCUGCGCUGCAAAGGAUUUGUGGGGGGUCUGUUUUGUAAUUUUUAAAGUGUUUGAUGUAAUUUUUGUUUAGUUGUUGAAUUUUUACCAUUGUAUUGUGUAUGUAAAAAGAAAAGAAAAAAGAACAAAAAAUAUAGUGAAAGUGAAUGUGUGUGUUUGUAUUUUUUAUGGAU
rnacentral:lncRNA from 1 species